AUUGAACGCUGGCGGCAGGCUUAACACAUGCAAGUCGAGCGGGGUGAUGGUGCUUGCACUAUCACUUAGCGGCGGACGGGUGAGUAAUGCUUAGGAAUCUGCCUAUUAGUGGGGGGCAACAUCUCGAAAGGGAUGCUAAUACCGCAUACGUCCUACAGGAGAAAGCAGGGGAUCACUUGUGACCUUGCGCUAAUAGAUGAGCCUAAGUCGGAUUAGCUAGUUGGUGGGGUAAAGGCCUACCAAGGCGACGAUCUGUAGCGGGUCUGAGAGGAUGAUCCGGCACGGUGGUAAUGAGACACAGCCCAGACUCCUACGGGAGGCAGCAGUGGGGAAUAUUGGACAAUGGGGGGAACCCUGAUCCAGCCAUGCAGCGUGUGUGAAGAAGGCCUUAUGGUUGUAAAGCACUUUAAGCGAGGAGGAGGCUCUUUUGGUUAAUACCCAAGAUGAGUGGACGUUACUCGCAGAAUAAGCACCGGCUAACUCUGUGCCAGCCGCCGCCGUAA
rnacentral:rRNA from 1 species